CUCAGUCUCAGUCCAUUUGCUUUGGUUGGACCUACUUCUACUCCUCCUGCCCUCUCCCCGAGUUCUAGGGCAGUUGCAGGACUCUGGACUGGCUGAGGAGAGGAUCAAUAGCCUUUGGCCAGAUUAAUUGGUUCAGUAAUGAGCACAUGAUGCAAUUUGGACCAAUAAGAAUCAGGCCCAAGACUUCUGUUUGCAAUUUAGAAGAUAGUUUCUCUUUCUUAUCUUUAACUCUGGGGGAUAAAAGCCUGAAGUUCAUGGAAGUCAUCUAGUGAAGAAGGCUUAUUGAAGGUGAUGACAAGAAAGACUGCAGGGGUAUACUUCAAAAUACUCAUAUGUCCAAGUGUUUCAAUUCUAGAGGCUUGCUGUCUUUGUCAUUUCAUAGCUCGCCUUGGGAAGGUACUGUGACCGAGCUUUCAUGGAAAUCAGGAAGAUUCUGAGAGAAUCCAAAUGUGACCAUCUGGGAGAGUUAAGAGAAGAAAAUACACCAUGUGGAGAGACAAGGACUGCCACUCCUGGAGUUCCAAAUGGACAGAAGGAGAGAGCUUCCUCGCAUCUUUGGGAAAAUCCUAUCUACAUAGCAUAAAUGCCCCAUACUCCACCCUGGAAGAGGCUAAUCAGGGGCACCUCCUCAUGGGUGCCAGAUAUUAGAAGAUUUUACAGGCUCCAUUGCGGCAGAAGGUAAUCAAAAAGGCCCAAGCCCCACCCUACAGAGAGCAGCAGCAUGACCUUAAACUGCCUUUGCUGGUCACUUGGAGAGGGAGGGUCCAUUUUCCUCAGUGGGCAACAAAGCCGCUGAUAAUCAGGUGCACACAUGACGUGGAUGUAACCUGCUGAGGAAGUGUCUGAUAUACCAAAGGAGCCAGGACUCACAACAAGCCUGGCCAGGAAAAAGAAGCCUCAGAGAACCCCAGAGCAGCCUCUACUUUGUAGAUGAUAUGAGUAAAUACAACGCAGACAGCCACUUAGCAAGUUCAGAGCCACUUCCAAACGACGCUGAGGGCCUGGUGUCAGCUCCUGCACAGCAGGCUCCAUUCUCUCCCCUUCAGGCUGUGUGCAUGUUCACUCCAGUGAGUCACAAAGACACAUUCCCAGGUGCGCACCUGGCCAAAAGCACAGAAGAGGAAGUCGCACAUGUGACCAUCCUCUGCCAACCAGCCCACGUGUACAGCAGAAAUCAGUAUUGUUUGCCUCUGUAAUAAAAUCAUUGCAUAAAUUUUGUAGAGCUUUGAAUCGGCCUCGUAAGUGUCACCAGGCAACUCUUCCAAGAAGGGUAGGGGGAUGGUGAGGUAGAGAACUCCAGGGACACAGAAAAGGACCAUGGUGUGUUUCUUGCAAAGCCCUUGUGCUGGAAAUGCUAUGAAGGCAAAAACUUUAUGCUGACCAUGAAACCCAAUCAAUAUAACACAAAAUUCAGGCCAGGUACAAUGGCUCACACCUGUAAUUCCAGCAUUUUGGGAAGCCAAGGCGGGCAGAUUGCUUUAGCUCAGGAGUUCGAGACAAGCCUGGGCAAACAUGGCGAAACCCCGUCUCUAUAGAAAAUACAAAAAAAGGCCAGGAGUAGUGGCUCAUGCCUGUAAUCCCAGCACUUUGGGAGGCCGAGGCAGGCAGAUCACCUGAGGUCAGGAGUUCAAGACUAGCCUGGCCAGCAUGGUGAAACCCUGUCUCUACUAAAAAAUACAAAAAUUAGCCAGGUGUAGUGGUGGGUACCUGUAAUCUCAGCUACUUGGGAGGCUGCGGCAGGAGAAUCGCUUGAACCUGGGAGUGGGAGGUUGCAGGGAGCCAAGAUCACACCACUGCACUCCAGCCUGGGCAACAAGAGUGAAACUCCAUCUAAAAAAAAGAAAAAAAAAGGAAAAGAAAAUACUAAAAAAUAGCCAGGUGUGGUGGUGCACGCCUGUGGUCCCAGCUACUUGGGAGGCUGAGGUGGGAGAAUCACUUGAGUCUGGGGUGCAGAGGCUGCAGUGAGCUGAGAUCAUGCCACUGCACUCCAGCCUGGGCAACAGAGCAAGACUGUGUCUCAAAAAAGAAAAAAAAUCCUCGAUAAAACUACAGAACCUUGCACUUGUAGCAACCAAUGCUUCCACUCCACACUGGAGUUCUCUCUGAAAGCAUUGCAAAAAUCCCUGUUAAGGUCAUGGGCCAAAACAUAAGGGAGACAAAACCACAAAGGGUGACAUCAGUUGCUUGUAAUGGUUUAGCUGCCAUGUGGUGGUAGCCAUAAGACGGCUGCUAAUCUGUAUCUU
rnacentral:lncRNA from 1 species